AAGGUGCGUGCGCGUGAGUUUUUGGGCUGUCUGGGUGGAAAGCUGCGGCCAUGCCUAAGCUCACUUCGUCGUUAUGUCCAGAGUAGUCCUUUUUAUUACAGUGCCCGGCUCACAAUUUCGGAAGCGCGUGAUUUCCUGAGCUGCUGGCAUCAGCAAAAUGUUCUUGCGCCUUAGCGCUGUUUUACGUAUGCUGCUCGUGACGUUCAUUCUUACAUCGAUAUGUUUCAUCGCACAGGCGUCGUCUCACAAAAUCAACAUGAGAGGAUGUGGAUAUUCGCGGCCUCUAGGAAGGGUAAUCAAUGGCCGCGUCGCUUCGAA